rnacentral:tRNA from 1 species
AGUCGCGUGGUCUAAUGGUUAUGAUUUCUCGUUCACAUUGAUGUGUGCAAAGUUCCGAGAAGGUUCCGUGUUCGAUCCACGGCGUGACUA